GGGAAGGUAGCUCAGCGAUAGAGAGCAUGCCUUGCAAGCAUGAGGCCCUGGGUUCGAUUCCUCAGCACCCCA
rfam:Dipodomys ordii contig_59433, whole genome shotgun sequence.